UACGAAGGGUGCAAGCGUUAAUCGGAAUUACUGGGCGUAAAGCGUGCGUAGGCGGUGACUUAAGUCUGUUGUGAAAUCCCCGGGCUCAACCUGGGAAUGGCAAUGGAUACUGGGUCGCUAGAGUGUGAUAGAGGAUGGUGGAAUUCCCGGUGUAGCGGUGAAAUGCGUAGAUAUCAAGAGGAACACCAGUGGCGAAGGCGAGUCCCUGGACAACACCUGACACUGAGGCACGAAAGCUAGGGGAGCAAACAGG
rnacentral:rRNA from 1 species